UCCGUAGGGUGCAAGCGUUACUCGGACUUACUGGGCGUAAAGCGUGCGCAGGCGGUGAUGUAAGACAGGUGUGAAAUCCCCGGGCUUAACCUGGGAACUGCAUUUGUGACUGCAUCGCUGGAGUGCGGCAGAGGGGGAUGGAAUUCCGCGUGUAGCAGUGAAAUGCGUAGAUAUGCGGAGGAACACCGAUGGCGAAGGCAAUCCCCUGGGCCUGCACUGACGCUCAUGCACGAAAGCGUGGGGAGCAAACAGG
rnacentral:rRNA from 1 species